AAUCACGUUUGCGAUGCAAACCUUGAUUAAGGUGAUACUGGCACUGGUAUUUCAGUCAAUGAAGUCAGUGAAGCACUCGUCUGCUAUGAUAGCUACCUACAACUUUAGCAUGUUGACUCACUGAUAAUGGUUUAGCCCUAGCCUCUAGCUAGCUGUGCAUUAACGUUUGCAUUUUGCCAAGUUUGGAAUCAUAACAUUACGUAACUUUAGUUUCUAUCUGCCAUCUUUGUAAUGAAAGCCUCGACAUUUUAAUCACUGUUUAAGUCGGUUCAGACAACUAUUGGCAUCGGUUUGUGAUUUAUUAUGCUAACGUAACUUAACUGUAUGGAACUUAGUCCCCAUCUUCUAUUUUGUUUGUUCUGCAGCGUCAACUUUUAUCGGCUGGAUUCUAGCAUCUAACGUUACGAUUGCCUCUGUUGGGUUUGCUUGAUCAACCAUCGUUUCGGGGACUCUGAUGACAGUGAAGAGCCAGAAAAUGGUGACUUUGCAUCUCUGAGGUACCUUCCAACUCGCCUGGUAUAUCAGUUGAAGCCUCAAGCCCAAGCCUAUUGCACUGGCAAACUCCACCAUGUCGCCGAGUGCCAGGCAGCUGAGUCACUACCCCUCAACCUGGAGAAAACUGUUAAGCUCUCAGCCUACCAUGGUUAACAGAUCACAACCAUUUAUCUCCCUCACCAUGGGGCAGGACCGCAACACCUACACCUGCAUUUAACAUACGGAGAGUUACUCAAGGUAGGGACUGAUCUCUGAAAUAUUAGUGAAUAGAAAGGCCCCAUGUGUAUUAUCAGUCAUGGUUAACAGAUAACUACCAUUUAAUACAAUUUUUUUCCCCCUCUCGCACACCA